rnacentral:rRNA from 1 species
CGAAUGCUGACAUAAGUAACGAUAAAGCGGGUGAAAAGCCCGCUCGCCGGAAGACCAAGGGUUCCUGUCCAACGUUAAUCGGGGCAGGGUGAGUCGACCCCUAAGGCGAGGCCGAAAGGCGUAGUCGAUGGGAAACAGGUUAAUAUUCCUGUACUUGGUGUUACUGCGAAGGGGGGACGGAGAAGGCUAUGUUGGCCGGGCGACGGUUGUCCCGGUUUAAGCGUGUAGGCUGGUUUUCCAGGCAAAUCCGGAAAAUCAAGGCUGAGGCGUGAUGACGAGGCACUACGGUGCUGAAGCAACAAAUGCCCUGCUUCCAGGAAAAGCCUCUAAGCAUCAGGUAACAUCAAAUCGUACCCCAAACCGACACAGGUGGUCAGGUAGAGAAUACCAAGGCGCUUGAGAGAACUCGGGUGAAGGAACUAGGCAAAAUGGUGCCGUAACUUCGGGAGAAGGCACGCUGAUAUGUAGGUGAAGUCCCUCGCGGAUGGAGCUGAAAUCAGUCGAAGAUACCAGCUGGCUGCAACUGUUUAUUAAAAACACAGCACUGUGCAAACACGAAAGUGGACGUAUACGGUGUGACGCCUGCCCGGUGCCGGAAGGUUAAUUGAUGGGGUCAGCGCAAGCGAAGCUCUUGAUCGAAGCCCCGGUAAACGGCGGCCGUAACUAUAACGGUCCUAAGGUAGCGAAAUUCCUUGUCGGGUAAGUUCCGACCUGCACGAAUGGCGUAAUGAUGGCCAGGCUGUCUCCACCCGAGACUCAGUGAAAUUGAACUCGCUGUGAAGAUGCAGUGUACCCGCGGCAAGACGGAAAGACCCCGUGAACCUUUACUAUAGCUUGACACUGAACAUUGAGCCUUGAUGUGUAGGAUAGGUGGGAGGCUUUGAAGUGUGGACGCCAGUCUGCAUGGAGCCGACCUUGAAAUACCACCCUUUAAUGUUUGAUGUUCUAACGUGGACCCGUAAUCCGGGUUGCGGACAGUGUCUGGUGGGUAGUUUGACUGGGGCGGUCUCCUCCUAAAGAGUAACGGAGGAGCACGAAGGUUGGCUAAUCCUGGUCGGACAUCAGGAGGUUAGUGCAAUGGCAUAAGCCAGCUUGACUGCGAGCGUGACGGCGCGAGCAGGUGCGAAAGCAGGUCAUAGUGAUCCGGUGGUUCUGAAUGGAAGGGCCAUCGCUCAACGGAUAAAAGGUACUCCGGGGAUAACAGGCUGAUACCGCCCAAGAGUUCAUAUCGACGGCGGUGUUUGGCACCUCGAUGUCGGCUCAUCACAUCCUGGGGCUGAAGUAGGUCCCAAGGGUAUGGCUGUUCGCCAUUUAAAGUGGUACGCGAGCUGGGUUUAGAACGUCGUGAGACAGUUCGGUCCCUAUCUGCCGUGGGCGCUGGAGAACUGAGGGGGGCUGCUCCUAGUACGAGAGGACCGGAGUGGACGCAUCACUGGUGUUCGGGUUGUCAUGCCAAUGGCACUGCCCGGUAGCUAAAUGCGGAAGAGAUAAGUGCUGAAAGCAUCUAAGCACGAAACUUGCC